rnacentral:rRNA from 1 species
AACGAACGUUGGCGGCGUGGAUUAGGCAUGCAAGUCGAACGCGAAUCCCUGGGCAACUGGGGAGGAGAGUGGCGAAAGGGGCAGUAAGGCGUGGGUAACCUACCCUCCGGGCCGGGAUAGCUUCGGGAAACUGAAGGUAAUGCCGGGCGACGCAGCGAGAUCGCAUGGUCUUGCUGCCAAAGGUCCGCCGCCGGGGGAGGGGCUCACGUGGUAUUAGCUAGACGGCGGGGUAACGGCCCACCGUGGCAAAGAUGCCUAGCAGGUGUGAGAGCACGACCUGCGCCACUGGCACUGAGACACUGGCCAGACACCUACGGGUGGCUGCAGUCGAGGAUCUUCGGCAAUGGGCGCAAGCCUGACCGAGCGACGCCGCGUGUGCGAUGAAGGCCUUCGGGUUGUAAAGCACUGUCGAGGGGGAGGAAGCCGCAAGGUUGACCUAUCCCUGGAGGAAGCACGGGCUAAGUUCGUG